CUGGCUUCAGCUCUGCAAUCAAACCUCUCACACCUGAGAGAGCUGGAUCUGAGCUACAAUCACCCAGGGGACUCAGGAUUGAGAGUGCUCUCAGCACUACAGGAGGACCCCAGCUGUAAACUGCAGACGCUGCUUGUGGACCAUGGAGGAGAGAACAGGAACAAACCAGGACUAAGGAAAUAUGCCUGUCAGCUCACACUGGACC